rnacentral:rRNA from 1 species
GGGUUGCGGACAGUGUCUGGUGGGUAGUUUGACUGGGGCGGUCUCCUCCCAAAGAGUAACGGAGGAGCACGAAGGUUAGCUAAUCCUGGUCGGACAUCAGGAGGUUAGUGCAAAGGCAUAAGCUAGCUUGACUGCGAGAGUGACGGCUCGAGCAGGUGCGAAAGCAGGUCUUAGUGAUCCGGUGGUUCUGAAUGGAAGGGCCAUCGCUCAACGGAUAAAAGGUACUCCGGGGAUAACAGGCUGAUACCGCCCAAGAGUUCAUAUCGACGGCGGUGUUUGGCACCUCGAUGUCGGCUCAUCACAUCCUGGGGCUGAAGUAGGUCCCAAGGGUAUGGCUGUUCGCCAUUUAAAGUGGUACGCGAGCUGGGUUUAGAACGUCGUGAGACAGUUCGGUCCCUAUCUGCCGUGGGCGCUGGAGAAUUGAGGGGGG